UCACGGCCUUGGGGUAUAUCUGAGGUGGU
rnacentral:piRNA from 1 species